rnacentral:rRNA from 1 species
UACGAAGGGGGCUAGCGUUGUUCGGAAUUACUGGGCGUAAAGCGCACGUAGGCGGACUAUUAAGUCAGGGGUGAAAUCCCGGGGCUCAACCCCGGAACUGCCUUUGAUACUGGUAGUCUCGAGUCCGGAAGAGGUGAGUGGAAUUCCGAGUGUAGAGGUGAAAUUCGUAGAUAUUCGGAGGAACACCAGUGGCGAAGGCGGCUCACUGGUCCGGUACUGACGCUGAGGUGCGAAAGCUAGGGGAGCGAACAGG